GGGUCUAGGUCCAUUCAAUCCCCCUUCCAAGACUGAGGAAGGGACCCAGGUGCCCUCACCAGGGUUGCCCAGCCAAUGUCCUCCCUUACAGGUGGCCGGGACCCGGGUCCCCCUGCCCCUCUCACUGGCAGGGGGUCGGGUGCGCCUGGAGCGAAGAGGGGGACAACGGCGGGUGGCCACGACCAUAGGCGUGCGGGUGGCCGUUGGUGGGGACGGCGCGGUGACGGUGACGGCACCGGCGACGCUACGGGGGCAGCUCUGUGGGCUCUGCGCCCAUCCUGAGGAGGGGGCCGGCGAGGGACAGGGGACACAGUGCUCCUCCUCCUGCUCACCCAAACACCCCCAGGAGCCCUGUGCCCCCAUCCCCAACCCCAUCCCCAUCCCCGUCCCCGUCCCCAAAUCCGUCCCCAACCUGGUCCCUAACCCCGUCCCCAACCCCGCCACCUGCUCAGCCCUGGGCAUGGGCCACGUCCGCACCUUCGACCGCCUCCACCACGAUUUCUCCGGCUCCUGCCUCUACCUCCUGGCCGGACUCUGCCCCGGUACUCAGGGCCCGGAGCCCUUCCGCGUCCUGGUGCGGGGUGGCCUGGGUGGCAUCACCGGUGCCGAGGUCCUGGUACGCCGCACGCGCGUGGAGCUGGAGCCCGGGCGGGUCACGGUGAGUAAGGGAGGAGUAGGAGCGCGGGGGUGGUGGUGUGAAGCUGGGGAGUGAGGAAGGGCCGCAAGGAGGGAGUUGUGAGGAUGGAGUAAACCAGGAGGGAAGGGCUGGAUGCUGUGUAGGACUUUCUGCACAAACUGGGAUUAAGUAGGGAUGUGUUGACUGACCAAGGGAUGAGUAAAGAGGAAGUAGCAGGCAAGUGAUGUGUAAAGAGUAAAGACCAAGUAAAUCCAGUCCAGAUUUCUCAAGGGGAGUAACAAGUGAGUAAUGAGUAACACAUGAGUAGACAAGAA
rnacentral:lncRNA from 1 species